CGUCGCGAGAAGUCCAUUGAACCUUAUCAUUUAGAGGAAGGAGAAGUCGUAACAAGGUUUCCGUAGGUGAACCUGCGGNAGGAUCAUUG
rnacentral:rRNA from 1 species